UACGUAGGGUGCAAGCGUUUGUCCGGAAUUAUUGGGCGUAAAGAGCUCGUAGGCGGUCUGUCACGUCGGCCGUGAAAUCCCGAGGCUCAACUUCGGGUCUGCAGUCGAUACGGGCAAACUAGAGUAUUGCAGGGGAGACUGGAAUUCCUGGUGUAGCGGUGAAAUGCGCAGAUAUCAGGAGGAACACCGGUGGCGAAGGCAGGUCUCUGGGCAUUAACUGACGCUGAGGAGCGAAAGCAUGGGGAGCGAACAGG
rnacentral:rRNA from 1 species